rnacentral:rRNA from 1 species
UACGUAGGGGGCAAGCGUUGUCCGGAUUUACUGGGCGUAAAGCGCACGUAGGCGGCUUUGUAAGUUAGAGGUGAAAGCCCGGGGCUCAACUCCGGAACUGCCUUUAAGACUGCAUCGCUAGAAUUGUGGAGAGGUAAGUGGAAUUCCGAGUGUAGAGGUGAAAUUCGUAGAUAUUCGGAAGAACACCAGUGGCGAAGGCGACUUACUGGACACAUAUUGACGCUGAGGUGCGAAAGCGUGGGGAGCAAACAGG